GCGCCUCCUCGCCCGGCGCUCGCCGCCUGAGCGCAGCCCGCGCGGCAGCGACAGCCGCCCCGGGGCGCUCUUGUCUCAGGCGCGACAGCGGGAGGCUCCGAGCACGGUCGCCUCGCACCCCCUUGGGGGGCUCCCGGGCAUUUCGCGCCCGAGGCUGGGCUCGGGGGCGCCCGGCGUGGCUCCUCCGCUGGGUCAGCCCCGCUCCGCUGUGCUCAGAAUAAGUCACCUGGUGGAAAAGACACAACUUGGAAAGGCGCCGGGGGGGGGGGGGGGCGCUGUCUAUUGGCAGGUUCGCAACUCUUCGCUCUUCUAUAUCAGAAACGCUCGUCCUUGCCGCAGUCCGCGUCGGGUUAAAGAGACAGGAAUAUUGGGGAAGUCACUCAUCCGGUUUUGAACCGGCCACCCUCUUGGGGUGCUUUGUCCCCCAGCUGGUUCUGGCAAAGCUGGACAUGGCUUUGUCCAAUAUCUGAUCGGGGGGGGGCGCACGUUUCAAGAGUGCCCCACUCAGGCACAACUUCACGUGCACCAGUACACACGAGGUCAUGGCCGCCAGUGCCGGUGUGCUCUUAAAGAAUGGUGCCCUUCCUGCUGCCUUUCUCCAGCCGGUUGGUGUGUGCAAGCAGUAAAUAGAGUCAUCAAGAAGGAAGGGAAACAAAGAGUGCUCAAACAGGUGAGGAAAAAGCAGCAGAGAACAUCCUUCCCUCUAGACUCUUUGUAUCCUGAAUCUCAGCUGGAAACGUGUUUCAAGAGGGAAACUGACACUAUAAAAGGAGGGACAAACACUGCAAGACAUCUUCCCCUCUCUCCCUGCCCAUCACAUUCACAGCACCUGAACUGACAAGACAAAGGAAGCAUUUGUUGGAUUCUAGAGAAAAGAGGUCCUGGCUUAAGAAGUUUGGUCAGUAAGACUGCUGAGAGCAUGUGGUGAGGACUUUGCUUUGAGUUUCACGUAGUUUAAGUUAGGCACCAAGUGCGUUUUGUCUUUAUUUUUCUUGUAACCAUUUCUGACUUUUAUGCCUCAUUACUUGUACUCACUUAAAAUGUAUCUUUUGUAGCUAAACUUGUUUUAUUGUUUUAUCUAAUCCAGUGUUUUUAAAUUGAAGUGUUUGGGGAAACUCCAUUUGGGCUGGCAAGUUAUGUGCACAUUAUUUCUAUUAAAGAAAUAAUGGAAUUUAUGUAAACUUGCAUUUCCCAGGAGAUGGCUGGGCAAUACAGGACAUACAUUUCUGGGGGUGGGAAAUCUAAGACUGAGAGUGUGUUGAGGUCACCCUGCAGUAUAACCAAAGCUGGUAAGAGCCAUGAUGUGUCUGUCUGGCUGCAGCCCGUGCAGACAUAACUGGGAGUGACUUGCAUUCUGGAGGCUGUUUGUGAGCAGUCCAGACUGGAGGCUACAGCGCAAAGCAUUGUAAAGGGCUCCUCAGGUUAGAGGGCAGGUUUGACACAGCUACUCAUUAGUCUGGAUUGAACCUGAUAUAUACAUAUACAUCAAAGUAGUUACACCAGUGGAUAUUUCUCUAAUGCAGACAGGGCCUAAGAGAGAUGCCAUGCUGAGGUCUGGGAAAGGGGCGAAUGACCAUGAAGAGUUAAGAGAGACAAAGUGAGUGAGGUAAUAGCCUUUACUGGACCAACUUCUCUUGGUGAAAGAGACAAACCUUCCAGCUACAUGGACCUCUUCUUCAGGUCAUGAAGAUGUAAGAAAUUUAAUCCUGUUUAAACCAGAGAAUAGGUACAUGAUUCAGCUUGGGUAGCUGGAUUUUGCUUAGACUCCUGUAUAGUGAUGUUUUAUUCUAUUAAUUUCUAUUUGUUUUUAGAUAUUUUCCUACCUUAAACUGUUUUUUAUUUAAGACAGUUUGGCAUUGGAGACUGUUAUUCGGGAUCAAGCACUCCAGGACAUUCUGGAAGGAAGAAGCCAAACCUCUAACCUCAGAGGAAACUGAGUGGAGAUAGAGAUACCUACCUGAGGACUCAAAGACAUGGUUAUGGAGGGCAUACCCUCAAAAGCAUUUGUAACCCCUGCCUGCUUGGAAUGACUCUUUGUCCCCCUCUAGUGGUGACUGUGCCAGCUAGAGAUUGAUGAGCCAGCUAAAGCCUUGGCUAAGAGAAUGGUGUCUUUUGGUUCGAGCAGUAUAAGCUCAUGCAUUUAGUUUUGUUCCCCACUGCUGACACUCCUGUGUGGGUUGGCGUUACAAGUGGUGACCCAUACCAGGAAUUCAGGCAAUUCAACUGGGAAAGUCUCUGAAGCUCAGGGAUGCCCUUAAAAUCAUGGAAUCAUAGAAGAUUAGGGUUGGAAGAGACCUCUGGAUGUCAUCUAGUCCAACCCCCUGCUCAAAGCAGGACCAACCCCAACUAAAUCAUCCCAGCCAGUGUUGACAGAUUUUAGGAAGGUCGGAGAACAGUCAAGAUAUUUGUCUCCCUAUCCGCAUCUAUCAUCAGGGUUUAAGAUCUCCCAAAAUAAAAACCAACAAGGGAGUGUAGGAAUAAAAUGCAGGUAUGUUUAUUAGACCAACAACAGUCAAACAAGGUAAGUAAAUGGGAUAUGCUGUAAAGGACUGCCAACACAGUUAAGUAAGGUAAAUAGGUAAAGGUGACACUAUAACUAUACUGACUGUGACCAAAAAGGGUUUACUCCCUCUCCAAGUCGGGUCCCAGGUAAGGGGUAUGGGGAACUUGAAAGGUCUCUACCAUUUCUUGCAGCUUGUGUCUGGAGCUUCACGACCUCAUGAUGCAGAUUGGGUCCGGAACCGACGAGGUGACUCAGCAGGGUGAGGAGUGGACCUCAGGCAACUGCUUGAUGCUGGUGAUUCUUCUUUCUCCUACCCUGCAUCGGCGUGGCUGCAAGUAAGAUCCAGGUUCACGGGGCUAUAAUGGGAGUUGGAUUGCAUGCCUGUGCCUGUGCAAUGGCAUAGGAGGGAGUAAGGAAUCCUUGUGUAUCGCUGCACAAAACGUGAAUCUUGAAUGCACCUGCUUUCUCCUGCACCCAGCAGCUGGGUAAGGAGUGGACAGUGAUGGGCUGAGCCUUGACUCCAGCCCUAUUUGCAUGCCAGCUCAGAUGAGAUUUUGCAGGAGGUGUCAUAAUUUGCUGCUGGUAUAGAAAAUCCUUCCCUGCAAGCAAUGGAAGAAUUGUGAUGGUGUCAGUGUGCUCCUCAGAAAUGAUGCUAUAUCCCAUAAAAUCGUGGUUUGAAUUGAACCUUGUUAGAAGUAUAAUCAUCAUUUGAAGAAAAAUGUCCUUUGGAAGAAUAACCAGGAAACCUGCAAACAAAUUACAUUGUCUUUUCAGGAGAAACCCUCUCUCCUCCCGGCAUGAUUCUAAAAUACACUAAAAAUAGAAAUUUUACUCAUAUA